rnacentral:rRNA from 1 species
UACGUAGGGGGCUAGCGUUGUCCGGAAUCAUUGGGCGUAAAGCGCGUGUAGGCGGUCCGGUAAGUCCGCUGUGAAAGUCGGGGGCUCAACCCUCGGAUGCCGGUGGAUACUGUCGGGCUUGAGUACGGAAGAGGCGAGUGGAAUUCCGGGUGUAGCAGUGAAAUGCGUAGAUAUCGGGAGGAAUACCGAUGGCGAAGGCAGGUCUCUGGGCUGACACUGACGCUCAUGCACGAAAGCGUGGGGAGCAAACGGG